UUGCUUCAACAGCACAUAUACCAAAAUUACAACAAUACAACAGUGAACAUGGCACUUGUGCAAGGAUACUAUGAAAAUUUGUGAAGUGUUCCACAUUUUU
rnacentral:snRNA from 1 species